UUGAACGCUGGCGGCAGGCCUAACACAUGCAAGUCGAGCGGAUGAAGGGAGCUUGCUCCUGGAUUCAGCGGCGGACGGGUGAGUAAUGCCUAGGAAUCUGCCUGGUAGUGGGGGAUAACGUCCGGAAACGGGCGCUAAUACCGCAUACGUCCUGAGGGAGAAAGUGGGGGAUCUUCGGACCUCACGCUAUCAGAUGAGCCUAGGUCGGAUUAGCUAGUUGGUGGGGUAAAGGCCUACCAAGGCGACGAUCCGUAACUGGUCUGAGAGGAUGAUCAGUCACACUGGAACUGAGACACGGGCCAGACUCCUACGGGAGGCAGCAGUGGGGAAUAUUGGACAAUGGGCGAAAGCCUGAUCCAGCCAUGCCGCGUGUGUGAAGAAGGUCUUCGGAUUGUAAAGCACUUUAAGUUGGGAGGAAGGGCAGUAAGUUAAUACCUUGCUGUUUUGACGUUACCAACAGAAUAAGCACCGGCUAACUUCGUG
rnacentral:rRNA from 1 species